UGUUUGAUAUGAAUACAUACAAUAUAUCAAUACACAAUAUGAAAGACAUAUGUGUCAUCUGAAGAAUAGUCAAACAAAGAACGGUUUCGUUUGGUUUCGAAAGAAAAAAUUUUUGAAUUGAUUUUGAUAUACACAGUUACAUGUCAUAGUUGAAUUCAUUGAGAUUUGGUUUCAUGACCCCCACAUACAUGUUGUUUUCCACAAAAAUCACCUAUUUUGAAUUAUAACUCUCUUUAAAUCCAAAGGCAUUUCAAUCGAUCAAAAAUCUACAGAUCAAUACAAUUCUUCUCGUGAAAAAUAUAACAAAUCCAUCAAUAAUAUAAAACUUUCCAUUUUGUUCCGAGAGAAUUGAUGCAGAGCACCUUGAGUUUAUGGCAGUAAAGGAAAACCCCAUAGCAAAACGCCACCAUAGUCAUCGCUAUGGUAAUUCUUCCGACGAUUUCAUCACCUCUUCCUUUCUACUUUGGACUUGAUGGUGUUUACGGUCCAAUUGUCAGAGUUGGUACUUAUCCGUAUCUGUAUGAGACACCAGGUGUACAUGUUCGUGUUCACUAUCCUUAUAGAUAUUAUUAUUGGUGAAAUUAAGAGAUUGAACCCUUCUGUACUUUAAGCCCUUGUUAACAUUGUACCUGUAUUCGUUUAAUGCCUAGUUUAGAAAGUUUAAAUUGUUAAUUUCAGUUUCAGUGCAUAACUAUACUGUUGGCUUGAAAAGAAACAAUCUGUUUUUUGUCUUGGAAAUAAGAAUAGACGAAAUGA